UUACAAGACAGCACAUACUUGCUGCAACUUCCACUUAUUUCUAUCAAACCUUUGCUACCAUCUACCACAGAUCCAAAACUUUAAUCUACAGCCCUAAAACUCCACCAAACCACACCCUCAAACUGCACCCAAAAUAGCCACAAAACAAGACAUCCACCGAUCUACCAACCCUUUCGACCAUCACCUCUCUCAACCAAUACAUGCCUUUAACCCGAC
rnacentral:lncRNA from 1 species